GCUUAUGGCCAUACAACCCCGAACACGCCCGAUGUCGGAAACUAAGCAGGGUCGGGCAUUGUUUGUACUUGGAUUGGAGACCGCCUGGGAAUACCAGGUGCUGUAAGCU
ensembl:rRNA 5S_rRNA 5S ribosomal RNA